rnacentral:rRNA from 1 species
AUACGUAGGGGGCGAGCGUUGUCCGGAAUGAUUGGGUUUAAAGGGUGCGUAGGCUGUUCGGAAAGUCAGGGGUGAAAGCCCGGGGCCUAACGCCGGAACUGCCUUUGAUACUUCCGAGCUGGAAUACGGAUGCCGUGGGAGGAAUGAGUAGUGUAACGGUGAAAUGCAUAGAUAUUACUCAGAACACCGAUUGCGAAGGCAUCUCACGAAUCCGUCAUUGACGCUGAGGCACGAAAGCGUGGGGAUCAAACAGGAUUAGAUACCCUGGUAGUCCACGCAGUAAACGAUGAUGACUAACCGUCGGCGAUACACAGUCGGUGGCCAAGCGAAAGCGAUAAGUCAUCCACCUGGGGAGUACGUUCGCAAGAAUGAAACUCAAAGGAAUUGACGGGG